rnacentral:rRNA from 1 species
GAUGAACGCUGGCGGCGUGCCUAAUACAUGCAAGUCGAGCGAACGGACGAGAAGCUUGCUUCUCUGAUGUUAGCGGCGGACGGGUGAGUAACACGUGGAUAACCUACCCAUAAGACUGGGAUCACUUCGGGAAACCGUAGCUAAUACCGGAUAAUAUUUUGAACCGCAUGGUUCAAAAGUGAAAGACGGUCUUGCUGUCACUUAUAGAUGGAUCCGCGCUGCAUUAGCUAGUUGGUAAGGUAACGGCUUACCAAGGCAACGAUGCAUAGCCGACCUGAGAGGGUGAUCGGCCACACUGGAACUGAGACACGGUCCAGACUCCUACGGGAGGCAGCAGUAGGGAAUCUUCCGCAAUGGGCGAAAGCCUGACGGAGCAACGCCGCGUGAGUGAUGAAGGUCUUCGGAUCGUAAAACUCUGUUAUUAGGGAAGAACAUAUGUGUAAGUAACUGUGCACAUCUUGACGGUACCUAAUCAGAAAGCCACGGCUAACUACGUG